rnacentral:rRNA from 1 species
GAUGAACGCUGGCGGCGUGCCUAAUACAUGCAAGUCGAGCGAACGGACGAGAAGCUUGCUUCUCUGAUGUUAGCGGCGGACGGGUGAGUAAAACGUGGAUAACCUACCUAUAAGACUGGGAUAACUUCGGGACACCGGAGCUAAUACCGGAUAAUAUUUUGAACCGCAUGGUUCAAAAGUGAAAGACAGUCUUGCUGUCACUUAUAGAUGGAUCCGCGCUGCAUUAGCUAGUUGGUAAGGUAACGGCUUACCAAGGCAACGAUGCAUAGCCGACCUGAGAGGGUGAUCGGCCACACUGGAACUGAGACACGGUCCAGACUCCUACGGGAGGCAGCAGUAGGGAAUCUUGCGCAAUGGGCGAAAGCCUGACGGAGCAACGCCGCGUGAGUGAUGAAGGUCUUCGGAUCGUAAAACUCUGUGAUUAGGGAAGAACAUAUGUGUAAGUAACUGUGCACAUCUUGACGGUACCUUAUCAGAAAGCCACGGCUAACUACGUG